rnacentral:rRNA from 1 species
GAGUUUGAACCUGGCUCAGGAUGAACGCUGGCGGCGUGCUUAACACAUGCAAGUCGAACGGACCUGUACUGAAACCUAGUGAUUUACAGGUUAGUGGCGGACGGGUGAGUAACGCGUGGAAAACCUGCCGUAUACUGGGGGAUAACACUUAGAAAUAGGUGCUAAUACCGCAUAAGCGCACAGACCCGCAUGGGACAGUGUGAAAAACUCCGGUGGUAUACGAUGGUUCCGCGUCUGAUUAGCUUGUUGGCGGGGUAACGGCCCACCAAGGCGACGAUCAGUAGCCGGCCUGAGAGGGUGAACGGCCACAUUGGGACUGAGACACGGCCCAGACUCCUACGGGAGGCAGCAGUGGGGAAUAUUGCACAAUGGGGGAAACCCUGAUGCAGCGACGCCGCGUGAGUGAAGAAGUAUCUCGGUACGUAAAGCUCUAUCAGCAGGGAAGAAAAAAAGUCUUUGGCUUUGGACGGUACCUGACUAAGA